rnacentral:ncRNA from 2 species
GUUGUUUGCCUGCUUAUUCGUAUCUUUGCAGCGCACAAGAGUAAGGGAAUGGGGUGAGAAUCCCCAACUGUCCCGCAGCUGUAAGCAACCGAAUACGGGGUGAACACUAUGUCACUGAUAUUCUUGGGAAGACGUUCGCUCCUUAAGUUGCAAAGUCAGAAGACCUGCUUGUGUUUCAAAUGCUGA